rnacentral:lncRNA from 1 species
GAAGGAACUACGUUCCAGUAUGAUCUAACGGGUGUAAACGAUCAAAAGGGUCGAUCUAACGGCAGAAAACUUGGUAGCACCAAGUGCUUCGUGCUAUUAAUAGCACAGUAGCCGGAUUUUAUAUAUAUAUAUAUAUAUAUAUAUAUAGCAGAACUGCUGUGCUCUCAGGAGCACGAAAGUCUCCGUGCUCCUGAGCCGUUUUCGAUGAUGAAAUUUCUGAAUCGACGAUCGACUCCGUUAGACAUGAUCUAGCGUAUUUGAAGUUUCUAGAAAAUAAUUUUUGCGAUUUUUCGAUAUCAUUUACCUAGCAAUCGAAAGAAUUCAAAAUCAAUAAUUUUUAACGGCUGAAAUAAAAAUCCUAUAAAAAAUGAUGAUAUAGCACUAAAAUUUU